rnacentral:rRNA from 1 species
AUUGAACGCUGGCGGCAGGCUUAACACAUGCAAGUCGAGCGGGGGAAGGUAGCUUGCUACCGGACCUAGCGGCGGACGGGUGAGUAAUGCUUAGGAAUCUGCCUAUUAGUGGGGGACAACAUCUCGAAAGGGAUGCUAAUACCGCAUACGUCCUACGGGAGAAAGCAGGGGAUCUUCGGACCUUGCGCUAAUAGAUGAGACUAAGUCGGAUUAGCUAGUUGGUGGGAUAAAGGCCUACCAAGGCGACGAUCUGUAGCGGGUCUGAGAGGAUGAUCCGCCACACUGGGACUGAGACACGGCCCAGACUCCUACGGGAGGCAGCAGUGGGGAAUAUUGGACAAUGGGGGGAACCCUGAUCCAGCCAUGCCGCGUGUGUGAAGAAGGCCUUAUGGUUGUAAAGCACUUUAAGCGAGGAGGAGGCUACUCUAGUUAAUACCUAGGGAUAGUGGACGUUACUCGCAGAAUAAGCACCGGCUAACUCUGUGCCAGCAGCCGCCGUAA